CAUGACAAAGAACCAGUUCUGUCACGAACCCUUAGAAAGACCAGCUCCAGCCAGACUGUACUUCUCGGAGAUCUAAGUCAUAGCUCUGUGAAAUUCCUUUUGCAAGCUCCUGAUAUCCCAAUAUCUGCUGGCUGGUACCCACAGGACCACUUUAUGCUUCGAGAUAAAGACACCUAGACUUGUCAUCUGAACCCAGUACAGCCCGACACCAGUGUUCUGUGGUCCUUCUACUCAUGAGUCACCUAACUCAAGUCCUGUCACAUAUUCAGUGCACAGGUAUGAUUGUAAGGAGCUUGGAAAGUAGCCGUUUGGAGCCUGGAGCUGCAACUGACACUGCCCACCACAUUACUGACCCAAAUGUGGAUCAACCAAGAAUUAUUGGGUGAAGCCUAUCCAUUGGCUGUGCCUCCAGCUAUGUGGUCACAGCAAGAGAACUGGCCCCUUGAAAGCAAUCAUGCCUGCCCAUCGAGGAAUAGCUGACUCAAUGGCCCCAUUCAUGGGCCUUCCCACACCUUCCAGCUCUCCUUCUCUCCAGAGAUAUAUGGCAGGAUAUCCAUAUAUGCAGCUGUCGGUGGAAAACCAUGGAAUGGGUGCGGUGGGUGGAAAAUACCUUUCUUUUUGCAAAUUUAUGGAAAGCAAAUAUUGCAGUUUUCCUCCUUCAUGAUGCUAAAUAUAGCAGGUAACAGAUCCUCCUUUAAAAACUUAAAACCGACAUUGAUUUUUUUUCAUAAAGAAGGAAUAGCAAAAACACAGGAGACAGGCAAAUCUGCUACAAUCAUUGAGUAUUGAUACAAAAGCCAAUUCUUUCUAGUUAGACCCAAAAACCACCCAUGCUAAGGAUGGCUGGCAUGCAGUCUUAACUCACAACUUAGUAUUAACAAUGGCAUGUACAUGUUCAGCACAUUCCUUCCACGGCUGUAAGUCCUACCCCAAAGUAUAUUCCUUUCCCCUUCUUCCUUCAUGGCCAACCCAUUUAUUUGUGUUCUCAUGGCCUCUAAUCUCAGUCCCUUCAGACAUGAUAGUGCUACUUGAUAUUAAAGUAUAGAUAAAGAUACCGUUUUAUAAAGAUUAGUAACUGUAGUUCAUGUCACAGUUUCUUAAGCUCGGUGUUAUUGACAUUUUAGACCAAGUAAUUAUUUGUUGUGGGGGAUGUCCUGUGCACCGCAGGAAGUUUAGCAACAUCCCUGGCCUCUACCCACUGGAUGCCAACAGCAUCCCUUUCCUCUUGCACUCAGCAACACUAGACAACCACAAAUGUCUCUAGACAUUGCCAAAUAUCCCCUAGAGGACAAGGUUGCCCUGGGUUGAAAACCACUGGUCUAUUCUCAGGCUGAAAGUGGUAAUAGCAUCUUCUAGCACCCCCCAGUGAGGUAAAGACCACCAUUCUGCUCCAAACUGCUGAAAUUUCAACUGCUACUGCCUCCAGUUUCUACCUCCUAACUAAAUCUGGUAGUUUUAUAUUCUCUU